UACGUAGGGGGCGAGCGUUGUCCGGAUUUAUUGGGCGUAAAGAGCGUGUAGGCGGCUAGGUAGGUCCGCUGUGAAAACUCAGGGCUUAACCCUGAGCCUGCUUCCGAUACGGGCAGACUAGAGGUAUGCAGGGGAGAACGGAAUUCCUGGUGUAGCGGUGAAAUGCGUAGAUAUCGGGAGGAACACCAGUGGCGAAGGCGGCUAUCUGGGCUGAAACUGACGCUGAGGCGCGAAGGCUAGGGGAGCAAACAGGG
rnacentral:rRNA from 1 species